GCAAGCAUGUGGGCAUCUGUUACGCAUCGGGUUUGGAGUGUGACAUAUAUAGGAUGAGGUAGGAGAGAAGAAAGAAAGAAGAAAGGAGAAGCAGUGGAAGAAGAGAACGAGGAAUGGGGUGAAGGAAGAGUGUAAAAGAAGAGAAAAAGAGAGAGAGAGAGAGAGAGAGAGAGAGAGAGAGAGAGAGAGUUUCUCCUCUCAGAUAAGAAAGGAGAUCUAGAAAAGGAAAGAGGAGUGGGGUGAAGCAGGUGGAAGCCGCUACAUCAGUUGGCUCAGUCGAUGUACCAGCCUUCCACUACAGAAAAAGUAGCAUAUAGCUACGCUUUUUUGCCGAUGCAUGCAUAGGGCGUCGGCACUUUUAACCAUCUGUCGUUAAUAUUGCGACUCUAGCGCCUCGUGUCGGCGAGUUCACGUGCGGGAACUUUUCCGGUUCGCGCCUUAGGGGUCUGGAGAAAAAAAAAAAUCCCACUUUUUUCCCCCAAAACCCACAACAUAUUUCCAAAACCCACUUCUUUUUCCCCCCAAAACCACCUGAAUAUAAUUUCCAUCCAUUCUCCUCCUCUCUCUAGCUCUAUCUCUCUCCUUCUAUUAUUAGCAAAAGCAGAGGGAAAGGCCGACCUCGACUGCCCUCACCGCGGCCGUUGCCAUCGCCGUCGCCGUCGCCGUCGCCCUCACCGCGGCCGUCGGCGUUGCCAUCGCCGUUGCCGUUGCCGUCGCCGUCGCCGUCGCUGCCGACUCUCCCUUACUACUCCCGUCGCCGCCGACUCUGCUUUCGCUUUGGAUUAUAUUCGCCCUAACUCUGCUUCCAACCCUUCUUCUCUAGGUUACUCUCUUCCUCUUAUUCAUUUAUUUAUUUAUUUAUUUUGUGAAAAUAUUCUCUUUCUCUU
rnacentral:lncRNA from 1 species